GACGAACGCUGGCGGCAGGCUUAACACAUGCAAGUCGAGCGGGGAAAGGUAGCUUGCUACCUGACCUAGCGGCGGACGGGUGAGUAAUGCUUAGGAAUCUGCCUAUUAGUGGGGGACAACAUUCCGAAAGGAAUGCUAAUACCGCAUACGCCCUACGGGGGAAAGCAGGGGAUCUUCGGACCUUGCGCCAAUAGAUGAGCCUAAGUCAGAUUAGCUAGUUGGUGGGGUAAAGGCCUACCAAGGCGACGAUCUGUAGCGGGUCUGAGAGGAUGAUCCGCCACACUGGGACUGAGACACGGCCCAGACUCCUACGGGAGGCAGCAGUGGGGAAUAUUGGACAAUGGGCGAAAGCCUGAUCCAGCCAUGCCGCGUGUGUGAAGAAGGCCUUUUGGUUGUAAAGCACUUUAAGCGAGGAGGAGGCUACUUGGAUUAAUACUCUAGGAUAGUGGACGUUACUCGCAGAAUAAGCACCGGCUAACUCUGUGCCAGCCGCCGCGGUAACAC
rnacentral:rRNA from 1 species